AUUCAGCUGACGAGUCCCAAACAGGACGAAACGCGCGUCCUGGAU
rfam:Schistosoma margrebowiei strain Zambia genome assembly, scaffold: SMRZ_contig0002949